AACGUAGGAGGCAAGCGUUAUCCGGAUUUACUGGGCGUAAAGCGCGUGCAGGCGGUUUGGAAAGUUGGAUGUGAAAGCUCCCGGCUUAACUGGGAGAGGUCGUUCAAAACUACCAGACUAGAGGGCGAUAGAGGGAGGUGGAAUUCCGGGUGUAGUGGUGAAAUGCGUAGAUAUCCGGAGGAACACCAGUGGCGAAAGCGGCCUUCUGGAUCGUACCUGACGCUCAGACGCGAAAGCUAGGGUAGCAAACGGGAUUAGAAACCCUAGUAGUCC
rnacentral:rRNA from 1 species